UUUUUUGUUUUGUAAGAGCACUGUUUAAUACAAAAAAAAAGUAAAUAUUUAAUCGUCAAGUUUAAAAAUAAAUAACAAAAUGAAAUCAUACAGACAGUGAACGAUGCCAAUAAGAGAACAAGUCAGUGAAUGUGGUGGUAGAUCUAUCAUAUAUACAAGAAUAAAUCAACUAUCGAUAAGUGAGACCAAAUGACGGACAUAAUGAUGAUGAUUUAAUACCAGUUUCAACCAGUAUAAACCAGACACUGAGGUAUACGAGUCAGCGAGGAAGAAAUAUGAAACAAAGGAAUAUGUUGAAGGCACUCAUUAGAUACACAGCAAUCAAACAAAACGAAGAUUUGAGACGAGUUGCUUUUAAGUAAAAAUGUUUUUGACUGCGUUGAUGUUAUAUAUGUUUGAGCCUAGAUGUUCAUGUUAUGUUUGGGCCUAAAUG